CCUCCAAGCCCCUCCUCCCGGGGCCUAGGCGCUGUUUCGGGGCCGCAGCCUGGCCUUUUGGCUUACUGGGUGGCGGUUCUCGGUUGCCGGGGAUGGGGCGGCUGCUGCAGCCUCUGAGCGAGGCGCAGUUGAAGCGCUUGGAGGAUCACCGGUACCGGGCGGCCGGCCGCUCCCUGCUCGAGCCGCCGCUGCAGCGAUUCUGGGUCUGGCUCCUGGAGAGAGUCCCUCCCUGGUUGGCCCCAAACUCUAUCACCCUGAUCGGACUGGCCUGUAACCUCCUGAGCUGCCUCCUCCUGGUUUAUCACUGCCCCCAGGGCAGGGAGCAGGCACCAGCCUAUGUGUACAUUCUGUGUGGUCUGGGAUUAUUUAUUUACCAAUCUUUGGAUGCAAUUGAUGGCAAACAAGCUCGAAGGACCAACAGCAGCUCUCCUCUCGGAGAGCUUUUUGACCAUGGCUGUGAUUCCUUUUCCACAGUUAUGGUUGGCUUGGGCUCCUGUCUGGCCGUUCGCCUGGGAACAGAUCCAGACCUGAUGUUUUUCUGCUGUUUCAUUGGCAUCUUUAUGUUCUAUUGUGCUCACUGGCAAACCUACGUUUCAGGAUCUCUACGAUUUGGCAAAAUUGAUGUAACUGAAGUUCAAAUCUGCAUAAUGCUCAUCUUUUUCUUGUCUGCCAUUGGAGGAGCUACUCUUUGGGAUUACCAGAUUCCAGUACUAGGACUGAGAGUGAAGAUCCUGCCCGUAUUUGGAAUAAUAGCAGGAGCAAUCUAUUCCUGUACCAAUUACUUCCGGGUCAUCUUUUCUGGUGGGACAGGCAAAAAUGGUUCCACAAUAGCGGGUACCAGUGUUCUGUCACCUUCCUUGCACAUUGGACUGGUCAUAAUAAUGGCUAUAAUGAUCUACAAAAAAUCCACUACACGCUUGUUUGAGGAUCACCCUUGCCUUUAUGUGUUAAUGUUUGGAUGUGUAGCUUCAAAAAUCACAAACAAAUUAGUGGUGGCACAUAUGACCAAAAGUAAGGUGAAACUGCAAGACACAGCGUUCUUAGGGCCUGGGCUGCUGUUCCUGAACCAAUACUUUAAUAGUUUUAUUAAUGAGUACUUUGUACUAUGGACAGCUAUGAUCUUCUCCCUGUGCGAUUUGAUGAUUUACUGCACCUCCGUCUGCAUUCAGAUCGCUUCACACCUCCACAUCGAGGUUUUCCGAAUUCCAUAUCAAGCUCCUGAACAGGUUCAGAACCAUCAUGACUGACAAUUUGCCCAAAAGGAGGAGGAAGAGAUGGAGAGGGACCACACAAGUGAAAAAGAGCCAUUAUCUAGUAUCAGAAAUCCUGAUCAACUGCUAAACCAACCAGACCUUAUUAAUCUAGAAGGGCCUGUGUACAUUCCAGCUCCCGUCUCCCCUCAGAACAACAUGGGCUGAAGAGACCUGCAAACAUUCGCCAUCUCUUCUUGCUGCUGUGUCACGUGAAGGGGAGGAUUAUUAGAACACUUAUGAAGUGGAUGACCUAUAGGUUUAUACAUAUUUUUAUUUCAAAAACAAACCAUGAAGGAGUUUCUGAUCUUUGCAAGAAAAUGACAAUCAAUGACUUGGGUAAAUUGAUUUUUGUAUUAAAUCAUUGCUGGUAAUUUUUUUUUAAACCUACAAUUAAGCUAUAAAAUCACGUUUAAACUGUGCUUCACCUUUGUAUGUUUCACGUGCACAUUAUUCUUUUUUCUCUCAGUUUGGCAAGCCACAGGAUGCAUGUCGUUCACUGUAUCAUAAUCCUGUUCUAUAAAGCAACCAUUUCCUUUUGAAUUUCUUGCUGUAAUCCAUUAUUUUGGUUUGGAUCUUCCUGGUCCUGAAAGUUAAGUACUUUAAUUACAAUCUGUUCCAAUAUUUAUGCAAACUGGUUAUAAUAAAAAAAAUGUAAAAUUGUCAAUGUUAUCCUGACACAACUUUCAGAUACCUCUGCGUAAACAACACUAAAUAAAAUCUGUAACCCUC